GCAUUCAGCGACGGGAGAGGCAGCGGGCAGAUGUACUCUCUCCUGGAUUCUGUUCUUGCAGACUACUUAUAUUUUCCACUGGAGGUAAAUCUGGAAUUAUGAAUGCUUCUUUUCUUAGCACCUCCAGCCAAGAGCAAGGAGAAGAAGAAGACGGUGCUGCAUCCUCCGGUUAUUAUCCUCCAGUGAUUCUCAAGGAGCCGCACCAAAACUCUGGAAGAGGUUAGCAGUAGAACUUCUCAUCGAUUAAUGGGAGGCAACUCAAUAUACCUGACUAUAAACCAUGGAGGCACUCUUCUCGUAGCCCAGAAAAAAUUCCAGAGAAGUGAAGAACCAAUCUGGAACGACAACCAGCUCCAGCAUCUGAGUCAUCUCCUCUGGUUCCUCAGACGAUGAGCUGCUCAAGGUCUUGUUGCUCAUUCUCGUCAGUGAGGGUGUGAAGAGUCUUAAUAUUUCUGUGGAAGGUCUAAGUCAAGCUACUAUACUAUGUAGCACUAACUCUGUGACGAAGAGCGUGUCUAUGAAACUAAAAAUGGGUACGACUUCUUGUUUGGAGGGUGCUGGAAAGACCUCCAUAUUAUGCACUGUGGUGGCAUAGCAUGAACACUGAUAUCAACAAUUUUUUUUCCAGACAUCAAGUGUCAUGAAAGCGUUUCAUGCAGUGUAGGAUACAUAGAUUCAGUAGGCGUUAACUUUCAGGACCUAUCAUAUGAAGAAGAGCAGCUGAAGAAUGGUUUGUUGAGAGCAGAUCCAUAUAAAGCCUUGACUUGGUAAUUAUCGUGCACAAUCUGGCUCACAAGAGUCCCAGGCUGCGACAACAGGCUGCCGAUCACUCUCGACCAGCUCUUGGCACCCUCCUGGACGAGAUCACUACUGCUGAGGUCCCUUUUGUUUUAGAUCUUGCCAUGAGUGCCGACUGGCAUCAGCUUUCAAGCGUUACAGCCAUGGACGUGUACAAGUCCACUCCCGACUUGACAAAGUCCCAGGAACUGCAGAGACUGGGACAUCGUUGGAGGAAGGUCUCUUUUUUAUAUCGAUUUUUUGUUUUCACCAUUUUUGCAGAAAAAAUUAUUGGAGAUGAUCUGGAUAAGGAGAAGUGGCAAUUGAUCGUUUGUAGUACCUCCAAGCAUGACCUGAAAAGGGUGGUUAGUCUGAAGAGGUUAGAGUGAAAUGUAACUUUGUUUUCCCAGCUAGCUUGGGCGGAGUAUGGAUUGAUGAAUUGGCUAUCAGAAAUAUACAGAGCUAUCCAAGGUU